rnacentral:lncRNA from 1 species
UAUUGAAAUAAUUAAAACCCAAUUCUAAGUGCGUUUACCCAAACGUCAAAACCCUGAUCAACUCUUCCAACUUAAAGCUUCUAAAAUAAGAAUCAUCCUUCCAAAUCAAUCUCGAACUACUUGAAAAAUAAAACCAACCAUAUAUGCAAGUAAUAAUACAUAAUAUGAAGCUACUCGAAGUCUCAAACUACCGAAUGAAACGCUAAAGCUCAAAACGGCUAGUCAGGUCGUUACAAGAAUCAUCAG